ensembl:lncRNA
UUUUUUUUUUUUUUUUUUUUUUUUUUUCUGCCGGAGGCUGGCAGCUAUAGCUCCAAUUUGACCCCUAGACUGAGAACUUCCAUAUGCCGCGGGGGCGGACCUAAAAAGCAAAAAAACAAACAUUGGUACACAUUCUACUUAGUUAAAAGGUGUUAGAAAACAUGAGAAUCUCAAUCACACUGAAGUACUAUUCCAACUAAAAUGCAUACAGUUGAGGGACUGAUGCAGAAAGUCAACUCAAUGAAAAAAAAAGCACUGACUCACCUUCAGAUCUGCUUUUUUUUUUUCUUUUUAGGGCUGCACCUGUGGCAUUUGGAAGUUCCCAGGCUACAGGUCGAAUUGGAUCUAUAGCUGCCCACCUUGCCUGCCAGCCACAGCCACAGCGAUGUGGGAUCCAAGCCGCAUCUGCAACCUACACCAGAACUCACCGCAACAUUGGAUCACCAACACACUGGACAAGGCCAGGGACUGAACCUGCAUCCUCAUGGAUGCUAGUCAGAUUUGUUUCUGCUGUGCCACAACAUGAACUCCUCUGCACAUUUUUCUUAAGAACACUUGAGACAUUACAGUUAUGAGACUUUUGAGUGACUUUGGGCACGUCACUUAAGAGCUCUCUAAGCUUUAGUUUCCUCGACAUAAAAUAAAUGGAUUGGAUUGUCUGACCUCUAAGUAUUCACCUAAAUUCAGACCUCAGUAUCAAUACUUCACUGAUGAUAUUUACAAUUCCUACUUAGAUUUUUUUUUUUUUUUUUUUUUUUUUUUUUUUUUUUUUUUUUUGUCUUUUUGUUGUUGUUGUCGCUAUUUCUUGGGCCGCUCCCACGGCAUAUGGAGGAGUUCCUUGUGGCUCAGCAAUAACGAAUCCGGCUGGUAUCCAUGAGGAUGCAGGAUGGACCCCUGGCCUCUAUACAGCGUUGCCAUGGGCUGGUGGGCUGGCAGCUGCAGCUCCAAUUCAACCCCUAGUUUGAGAACCUUCAUAUGCUGCAGGUGCGGUCCUAAAAAGCAAAAUGAGUACUAUAAAAAGACUAAAGACUAUUAAAUUAUUAACCGACCCGUGAAUUUUCUCAAGCUUCCAUUCUAAUCUUUAUCUCUUUCGAGAAACAUGGUUUGUGUUUUAUUAAUACAGCAUAGUUUAGAAUUUGCUUAUUAUUUAGUAAUAUUAAAAAAUUCUUCCAUUUUAGUCUGGUCAACUACUUUGUAAACUCCCAGAGCCAGAACCUUGUUUCAUAACCUGUGUUCACAUGUGUCUUGUGUUUACUACAUUGUAAUGAUUUGUUACUCCUUCUCUCCUUCCUAAAGUCCUGAGAAAUUCUAAGGCAAAGAGCAAAGCUUACUUGUAUCCUGAAGGCUUGGAAAUCAGACACAAAAUAGCUCUCAAUAAAUGUUUGUUGAAUGGAUAAAUGAAUGAAUUAAUCUUUCUUCUCCCUUUGCAAUGCCUCACACAAUACUCUACACAUAACAGGAACUCGGUAAAGCUCGUCAAUGGAUUCAUGGAGAAAUCAUUUGGACCCAACCACAUAAAGCUUUAUCUUGCUUCAGAAAAGCACUUCAACUUUAAAGCUCAGCUACUAAAAUUACAAACUAAAAGUUUUAGUCUAACACAUAUAAAAUACAUAGGUUCAAUGACUAACCACAUCAAGGCUAGCUACAGAAGUAUUAAAAUCCAUUUUUUUAACUAAUGAAUUUGUGAACCUCAACAUGGAAAAAUUCAGUUACAUAAUCAAAAGAGAGGUUAUGUCCUGCAAAUUUAUACCUACAAAAGAUAGUGAGAAAAAAAUUAUCAAAAAGCUUAUAUCUGCACAUUGAAAUAAAUUAUUUUUAUGCCUGAACUGAAGCCAUUGUUUUCACUAGAAAUAAGAGUUAACAGCAAAGUGGUCCAAACUUGUCUCUAUAAAAUAGUCUUUGAGACUGAGAGUAAAUGUUUUGAUCUCUCAGUGAUUUUUAACUCCUGGAAGACUCCUUUUAUUAACAGAUAUUCAAAACCCUGUCUCCUAAAAUAAAACUUUAUUUUCUAAAAGGCAAACAAUCUGAGUAGGCACACUUUCGGAACACUAGGUUUUUAUAUUCCAGCACUAAAACUAUCCCUGGUGUUCAGCCUGGUACUGCUGCAACAGAAACACUUUUCUUAGUUUUUAAAUUACAUUUGAGUUAAGGUUUAAAUGUAGUACUACACAUUCUUUUACUGCAUCAUCUAAACUGAUUUUUACACUGCAUAUAUAAAUUCAUAAGUAUACCGUAAAAGAAUUCUACACUUGAAUGAAUCUGGGAAGAAACGUGAGCUCAACACACACCCCCUUCUUCCAACUCAAUACGAUUCAGAAGAAGCACAUCGUUUUUUUCUCAGGAAUUUCUCUCUCCCGCCCCCAUCCCACACUUUAUUUCAGAGCAGAAAUCAUUCAUUCUCCCACUCACAGUCUUUCCACCCAAAGAAGCUUCCCAACUAAUACUAUUUNNNNNNNNNNNNNNNNNNNNNNNAGCAGGACUCUCCUUUCACAUCUCAGAGUGCGUGAAGGAUUUCUUUGGAAGGGGCGGUGAAGGUCCGGGACACCACCACUCCCGCCAUGCAUUUUAGGUCAGGUCCUGGCAUCCCCCACCAUCCUCAUGCGGACCCCAGGAAACUGCGAUGGUCUGACACCGCAACCCCCCAUAUCCGCUAGGGCAAAGCAAACCGGGCCCAACCUCUGGGCUCCCAUUCAACAUAGCCUCCACCUGGCUGUACCCCGCUUCUCCCCACUUAUUCCCAGUGUAGCCUGGUCUCAUUAUCCAAUUUGGAGUCCCAUAACCAUCUUGCUCCCAACACACAGAACACACACACACACACCCUUCUACACUCCCGCCCCUGCCCCUUGAGCCCUACUACACCCGGGUCCCUUCCUCCGGGACCUCCCGGCAGCUCCAGCCCUCCCGCGUGCCCUAGUGCAGACCGGCGCCCUGUCCCUAUACCCACAAGACCCGCGUCCUACCCCACACGUCACACUCGGGCCCAUUCCUCCCGCGACCC